CCUACGGGAGGCAGCAGUGGGGAAUAUUGCGCAAUGGGGGAAACCCUGACGCAGCAACGCCGCGUGAAGGAAGAAGGCCUUCGGGUCGUAAACUUUUGUCAUCUGGGAAGAAGAAUGACGGUACCAGAGGAGGAAGCCACGGCUAACUACGUGCCAGCAGCCGCGGUAAUACGUAGGUGGCGAGCGUUGUCCGGAAUUACUGGGUGUAAAGGGUGCGUAGGCGGGUAUGCAAGUCAGAUGUGAAAGACCGGGGCUCAACUCCGGGGCUGCAUUUGAAACUGUCUUACUAGAGUGCAGGAGAGGAAAGCGGAAUUCCUAGUGUAGCGGUGAAAUGCGUAGAUAUUAGGAAGAACACCAGUGGCGAAGGCGGCUUUCUGGACUGUAACUGACGCUGAGGCACGAAAGCGUGGGGAGCGAACAGGAUUAGAUACCCCUGUAGUC
rnacentral:rRNA from 1 species